rnacentral:lncRNA from 1 species
AUGCGAAUGUCAGAGCACCUGAGGCUCACGGUCCAAACACAGAGCAAGCUGAAGCCCGAUAUCUCGGGGCAUUUGUGUAUGUGUAAAACGGUGUCGUCUCAGAUGAGGCUGAUCAGAAGUCAACACGCUGGCCACGAGAAGUUAUGCUGUGGAAAGAAGAAAGAGAUCAGUAAGUAUCAACCAUGUCCUCCCUGGUUGCAACUGUUAGCCUGGCAAACUCAAGCUGCGGGCCAGUUUUCCUCUAUUCUUGGAUGGGCAGGACCUCUCGCUGCCUAAAGCUGUCUUCUUCUGCAUUUGCCUCAAUGAGCCUUUUCUUACCAAGAUUAAAUAGUAUAUAAUAUGACAUGUUAUAUAUAUAUGUGUAUGUAUAUAUAUAUACACACGUGUGUAUAGUCAUAUAUUAUGUAAUAUAUGUAUAUUAUCUAUGGUGCAGGCUUCUCCAAUACACAAGUAGUAUUUUUAUCUUAUAUAAGGAUAUACCACAUCCUAUUUGCUGAACCACAGAACUUUGAAAAGUUAAGCCUGGCUCAACACAUCACCACUCAUACAGGUCAAUUUUUCCUCCACAGUUGAGUAAAAGAACAAAAAUGUACAAGCAGCAGAUUAAUUAAUGAGAACAAGAAAAAAUAUAUAUAUGGAUGUGGUAUAGCCACACUUUACUAUUGCAUCUGCCAAUGUCUGAAACAAGGAAGUGAAGUUCAGAGGAGAGGCGGGUGCUGCUGUCCCAUCACUCUGAUUUCACUGUAGGUCGGGUCAUCCCUAAUGUACAUUCAGAAAACACAUUUAAUAAUUUAUAAAAAGAAUUAAGUGUCUCGUCGGCGUCUUUCUCUUUAAUCUGGACUUGGGCAAUCAUUCCCACACAUUCAAUAACUCUACGAGAGAGGAAGGAUGUGGCAUCUGGGCUCUCACACCUAGAAGAACAAAGGAAGAAGAAGCUCACUACUGCUUUGUAAUUAUUGGAAAUUUUAGGUCUAGAAUGUCUCAUAUUGUAUAGGAGUGUUUUCAUGCUCCAUAAAAAUUCAGAAAAGAGUCUCUUUUCCAGGGAAUAACGAGUUAUAAUAAGUCUUUUUGGAAGAAAUAAUUGGCCUGGCAUUACUCUAAGUCCCUAAAAUAGCAAAUUAUAAUAGUUAUAAUAUCACCCAGUCCUGGCUGGCUGUAGAGUCCUUGCUGUCUUCAGUAGACUUCAUUCUUAAAAACGUAGUAUUUUCUAAGACAAUUCAUACUAUAAGAACUAUCUAAAGCUGGGGAAAAAAGAAAAAUACAAGUGUUUUCCUCAUCUUUUACAUAUUAUUUUAUUAAGUAUUUAUUCAAUGAUGACUCUACACUAGACGUUGUGCUGCGAGAGCACAGGAGAGAGAGAAGAGACAGAAGAAUAAGACUGGAGGGGUUGCUGAUAGGGAUUUGGGAGCAGGUAAGAAAGACAUAAAACUACGAAUACCUAUUCCUCAGAAACCCCACCCAAAAAAGAAGAUGAGGGGACUUUCAGUUCCACAUUUAAGGAGUUGGGAAGUCAUUACUCUAUCCUAAUAAGGAAAAAAGCUGAACAGGCUAAAAAAUCAACCACUUUUGGGGUGCCUGGGUGGCUCAGUCAGUUAAGCAUGUGUUGAUUUUGGCUCAGGUCAUGAUCUCGUGGUUUGUGAGUUCAGGCCCCCCGUCGGGCUCUACACUGACAGUAUGGAACCUGCUUGGGAUUCUCUCUCUCUCUCUCUCUCUCUCUCUCUGUCCUACCCCCACUCUCUCUCUCUCAAAAUAAAUAAAUAAACAGAAAAAAUCA